rnacentral:rRNA from 1 species
ACGACGCUGGCGGCGUGCCUAACACAUGCAAGUCGAACGGAAGUUAGAGCUUCGGUUUUAACUUUAGUGGCGAACGGGUGAGUAACGCGUGAGGAACCUGCCUUUCAGUGGGGGACAACAGUUGGAAACGACUGCUAAUACCGCAUGAUACUUUUGGGAGACAUCUCCUGGAAGUCAAAGCUUUAUGUGCUGAAAGCGGGGGAUCGCAAGACCUCGCGCGACUGGAGCGGCCGAUGUCUGAUUAGCUGGUUGGUGGGGUAAAAGCUUACCAAGGCGACGAUCAGUAGCUGGUCUGAGAGGAUGAUCAGCCACAUUGGGACUGAGACACGGCCCAGACUCCUACGGGAGGCAGCAGUGGGGAAUUUUGGACAAUGGGGGAAACCCUGAUCCAGCCAUGCCGCGUGCGGGAUGAAGGCCUUCGGGUUGUAAACCGCUUUUGUCAGAGACGAAAAGGGACCCGUGAACAACGGGUUCCGCUGACGGUAUCUGAAGAAUAAGCACCGGCUAACUACGUG